rnacentral:rRNA from 1 species
GAGUUUGAUCAUGGCUCAGAUUGAACGCUGGCGGCAUGCCUUACACAUGCAAGUCGAACGGCAGCACGGGAGCUUGCUCCUGGUGGCGAGUGGCGAACGGGUGAGUAAUGCAUCGGAACGUAUCCUGGAGUGGGGGAUAACGUAGCGAAAGUUACGCUAAUACCGCAUAUUCUGUGAGCAGGAAAGCGGGGGACCUUCGGGCCUCGCGCUCUUGGAGCGGCCGAUGUCGGAUUAGCUAGUUGGUGAGGUAAAAGCUCACCAAGGCGACGAUCCGUAGCAGGUCUGAGAGGAUGAUCUGCCACACUGGAACUGAGACACGGUCCAGACUCCUACGGGAGGCAGCAGUGGGGAAUUUUGGACAAUGGGGGCAACCCUGAUCCAGCCAUGCCGCGUGAGUGAAGAAGGCCU